rnacentral:tRNA from 1 species
GGGGUUGUGACUCAGAGGUAGAGUGUUUGCCUACCAUGCAAGAGGCACUGGUUCAAUCCUCAGCACCA